UCGUGCUAGACGGGGAGCUAGCGGUGCCCUGAACCCGCAAUCCGCUAUAAAGGGGUUGAACUCCUCCCCGAGGGCCAUAGGACGCUGCUCCUGGCGCGGCUGAGCGGCGAUGAUGGUUGGGUCCUGCGCGGCGGGAACCCUCGAACCUGGUCAGGUCCGGAAGGAAGCAGCCAUAAGGGGGCCAUUCCGGGUGCCGCAGGGUCGCCUGACCGGAGCAAGCUGGUCGCGUUAAGUCGGCUGUCCGUGGUUCGACGGGAGGUGCACGA
rnacentral:SRP_RNA from 1 species